rnacentral:rRNA from 1 species
UACGGGGGGGGCAAGCGUUGUUCGGAAUUACUGGGCGUAAAGGGCUCGUAGGCGGCCAACUAAGUCAGACGUGAAAUCCCUCGGCUUAACCGGGGAACUGCGUCUGAUACUGGAUGGCUAGAGGUUGGGAGAGGGAUGCGGAAUUCCAGGUGUAGCGGUGAAAUGCGCAGAUAUCGGGAGGAACACCAAUUGCGAAGGCAGCUUGCUGGGACGGUACUGACGCUGAGGCGCGAAAGCGUGGGGAGCAAACAGG